GGGCAUGUAGCUCAGGGGAUAGAGCACCAGAUUCCGGUUCUGGGUGUCGCAGGUUCGAUUCCUGCCAUGCUCG
rfam:Leptolyngbya sp. NIES-2104 DNA, contig: contig1.